rnacentral:rRNA from 1 species
CCAAUAGCGUAUAUUAAAGUUGUUGCAGUUAAAAAGCUCGUAGUUGAAUUUCGGGGUUAGCAAGUUGGUCGUGCCUUCGGUAUGCACUGGCUUUGCUGAUUCCUCCUUCUUGAAGAACUGUGAUGCUAUUAAUUUGGUGUUGCAGGGAAACAGGACUGUUACUUUGAAAAAAUUAGAGUGUUUAAAGCAGGCUAACGCUUGAAUACAUUAGCAUGGAAUAAUGAAAUAGGACGUUUGAUCCUAUUUUGUUGGUUUCUAGGAUUGACGUAAUGAUUAAUAGGGAUAGUUGGGGGCAUUAGUAUUCAAUUGUCAGAGGUGAAAUUCUUGGAUUUAUUGAAGACUAACUACUGCGAAAGCAUUUGCCAAGGAUGUUUUCAUUAAUCAAGAACGAAAGUUAGGGGAUCGAAGACGAUCAGAUACCGUCGUAGUCUUAACCAUAAACUAUGCCGACUAGGGAUCGGAUGAUGUUAAUUUUUUAAUGACUCAUUCGGCGCCUUACG